UCUCCGUAGGUGAACCUGCGGAGGGAUCAUUACAAGUGACCCCGGUCUUACCACCGGGAUGUUCAUAACCCUUUGUUGUCCGAUUCUGUUGCCUCCGGGGCGACCCUGCCUUCGGGCGGGGGCUCCGGGUGGACACUUCAAACUCUUGCGUAACUUUGCAGUCUGAGUAAACUUAAUUAAUAAAUUAAAACUUUUAACAACGGAUCUCUUGGUUCUG
rnacentral:misc_RNA from 1 species